UCGAACUCUGUAUCUGAUUCGGCAGGGGAAGUUCCUGCCUGACCCCGUGUGAGGGGUUACAAAAAUUCUAAUCUCCGACGUGCACCCAUCGUGUCAGGUGGGAUGUGCGAAGCUCGGUGAAGAGCGGGGAAGAAGCUUGAGACAGCUUGGAUAACCGCGGGAAGCUAUAAA
rfam:Lachnospiraceae bacterium ACC2 genomic scaffold supercont1.4, whole genome shotgun sequence.